CGUCGCUUACACAUCACAUUGUAGUGUUAUAUCCUUUAACCGACAAGAUUGAUCGUAUGAUCCCCCGGAUUCAACGAGAUCACAACACGAUCACACCACGUCGGGGAUGCCACGAUUUGAGGAAUUGGUUGGAAACUAAGAGCUAGAUAUUCAUAGGAUGCAUUGAGAACCAUAUGCGCGGAAGAUGAUUGCCACUAACCACCAAGUAUCCCGGAAAAUUGAACGAUAUGGCCUCUAACCACAAACUAUCCCGGAAAAUUGAACGAGAUGCAACCUACACCGGGAUCUGCAUUUAGUGGAAAGACAAGGGUCUCGAGUGCAGAGAGAGGCAUGGGUCUUCAAUCUUGACCGGAUUGGGUAAAUCGAUGAUUCAACACUUCUACACAAGUCAUAUUUACCCUAAAGUACCACAAUGCAACCUAGAUUCUUUUUUUUGUCAACAACACGCAACAUGCGAGUUCGAAUAUGGGUGGUGACAAAGUGAGUACACUAGCACCACCUGAGUACUUAAAGAUGUUUUAUUUUUGAGGCCGAUUACAAUAAAGCGCACGGCGAGUAAUAUUUUGCAUAAGACCUCACUAGUUUUCAAUCUAUGUGUUUAAGUUUACAUGGGAA